CACGCAAGUUAACCCCGUGGUGCAUAUCACCACGAUCGAGAAGAACCACGGAACGUGGGCAUAUUCACAUCAAAUCGUGGUACAGCUUUCAAAAUGUGUGUAAAAAUCACCGAAGAGCUUUAUCCUCGAAAAAUUAACCCAUGAAAUAUGGUACUUGUGGUACUAUUCACCUCGUAUGAUCACAAGCUCUGGAAAUCAACCACGUUCGUGGUGCAUUAGCUCACGCGUGAUCCUACGUGGUAUUUGUGACGUAAGAAUUUCUAUUGCCUCAAAAAUUUAACCCACAAUCAGUGGUGCAUAUGCCCAUGUGUGGUUAAACGAGGUACUAUAGAUCUGUAAGUUAUAUAGACCUCAAAAAUUUAACCCACACUUGGGGUGCAUUUGCUCACACGAGGCUUUUACGUGAUGCUUCUCAUUUUUUAUUAUCAUCUUUUGCAAAGAAAAUCAACCCCACUUCGUGGUGCAUUUGUCCACGAUUGUGGUACAAGAGUGUGAACUUUAUUUUUUUCACUUCGUUGUACCACAUCGCCACAGUCACAGGGACAAACGCAGAAAAUCAACCCUUAUUCGAGGUGCCAUUCGCCACGAUCGUGGUGAAAGUGCACAAUAAUUGAUUGUUAGAGAAAUAUUUUUAAUUAUUUUUAUAAUUAAACAUUUUAUAAUUAUUGAGUAAUAAAUUACAAACUUAUAAUAUUUAUUCGGUUAAAUUACUUUUUUAUAUUAUUUUUAUAAAAUUAUUUAUUGCGAUUUUAUUAUUAUACUAUCAUUUAAUAUUAAAUUUAGUUAAUUUUUUUACAAUGGUCUCUAAUAUUUAAAUUUUCAUUUGUGCUGCAAUUUAUCUAAAAUCCUUUGAUUGGUGAUUAAUUAUUUAUAGGGUUUGAUUAAUUAAUAAUAGAAGUUUAUAUGAAAAAUGCACCCAUGAUGACACACAUUUCUAAGAAAAAUAUUUUAAAGAAACAUGUGGUCUGCAGUGGAAAAUUUUGUGCAAGGAAUAUUUUUAUGAUACGCAAUAAAAUGUUUGUUUGCAUGGGUCCCUUUUUUUCUCAUGCGUCCUCACUCUCAUAGGGUCAAGAUUUUUGUCUGAGUUACCCUUCUUUUAGUUUUCUUGAGAUCGUUGGAGUGGUUAGAGUGAGUAGAAGAUCAGUUUUGGAAAUUAUGUGAUAUAAAAUUAAACAAUCAAUGUGAUGUGCAUCUUUAAAUAAUAGCUACCUCCUUCAAGUAGCGCAGCUUCCUCAAUUGAAAGUGGAAAGGUGAUCAUACUCUUAAAUCAUCCUCAUUGAAACGCACUAAUUAUAGUACAUCCUUCACGAGACCGUUUAAUGAGAUAAACCAAAAAAAAAAAACUAUCAAAUCAAAUGAGGACGGUGCCAAAAGCGAAACGAAUUGAAGAAAUAUUGCUGAUGAUGGAUAUCUUUAAGGAGAGUUCCAGUGUUUCCAGAAGGCAAAAGUCUUUACACUAUCGACAUUAAAGAAGGUGAAGGUUCAUGAUUUUUUUAUGGAGAACUUUUGUAAAAUAUUUAAAUUUAUUAAUUAAUUUAAGAAACGCGAAAAAAUAGUGCCUCUUUGAAUAACACUGCAUGGGAUAUACUCUUCACGCUCAUUAUUUUUAAUGAGAAAGAGGAGUGCAUCCUAUAUGUGACAUUCUGUAAAUAAUCAUUGGUGGUAUUAUGAGAUAAAAAUCAUUUCCAAAAGAAAUUGGAAGAUAAAGAUUUACGUUCUCAAAUGUCUAGAUUUUACGUUAAAUAACAUAAAUUUUAGAUUUUAAUUUAUUGAAUAAAAUUGAGUAGAAUAUCUCCGUUCUUACUUUUUGAUUUUGCAACGUGGUUAUAUCUUCGAAUACCACUAAAUAUCACGAUAAUAAAUCCUUGCAUUUGUGUCUGAUUAUCAUACAAUUUCGCGAUUAGAUUUACGUAUAUUCUGUUUCUUAAAGAAUAGGCCUAAUAUUACUCAAAAUUUACAAUACAUAAUAAAUAUAUAUGUACAUAAUAAAUGGAUGUUUAAUGUAAUAAUGAUAAUUUAUAUUUUUUGUUAUGUUAUAUUUAAAUAAAUAAAUAAAAACAAAAUCAAAAAUAUUUUUUAUAUAAUUUUCUGCACCACGAAUGGGGGUUAAUUUUCAGCGGCAGCACCACGAUCGUGGUGAAUGGCACCGCGAAUAGGGGUUAAUUUUCUGCGUCUCGACCACAAUCGUGGCGAAUAGCACCACGAAUGGGGGUUAAUUUUCAGCGGCAGCACCACGAUCGUGGUGAAUGGCACCGCGAAUAGGGGUUAAUUUUCUGCGUCUCGACCACAAUCGUGGCGAAUAGCACCACGAAUGGGGGUUAAUUUUCAGCGGCAACACCAUGAUCGUGGUGAAUGGCACCGCGAAUAGGGGUUAAUUUUCUGCGUCUGCACCACGAUCGUGGCGAAUGGCACCGCGAAUAGGGGUUAAUUUUCUGCGUCUGCACCACGAUCGUGGUGAAUAGCGCCACAAAUAUGGGUUAAAUUGGAAAGUUUUGAACCACAAUUCGUGAUCAUUCGUGGUGCAUAUGACCACAGGAACCAGUUUGCGUGGUUAAAUAUGUGACGCUUUUUUGAACUUUCAACUUUCAAAGUUUUGAACUUUUUCGUAAAGCUGUGUCCAAAAACCACGUGUGGUGAAAUGUGGUGAUAUUAACCACAUUGCACCACAAAUAGGGGUUAACCCAAUUUUCACGUUUUCGUGGUGCAUUUAACCCACAUUUGUGGUGAAUAUGCCCACGUUUUUCGCUGAGUGUAUUAUUUGCAAUGGUUCAUCUAUUGAUUUAUUAAAUUUGGAAUAUUUGUCCGAACUAAAUUGAUUUUGUUUUCUUUAAUGAUAAAUCUAUUUUAUCUAUUGAAAAAUGAGGUAAAAAUAUCACUGAAAAAUCUGAAUUUGACGAUAAGGGAAAUUCUUGGAAAAAUAUUCUCCAAAAAUUAUGAAUAUUCGUUGUUUUUUAUUUCCAAAGUUUUCCCAAUCACUUGUACAGAUCCUAUUCAUUCCAUUAAAAGAGCUAAAGCUUCUUGAGCCUUAGGUCUGAGGAGGUUUUAAAGAAAGCAUCACAAUAAAAAUUUUUUUUUUAAAUCCUAAUAGAUUAAGAUAGUUUUACAACCAAUAGAUCAUAUAAAUUGAAUUAUAAAUCAUUCAAGAUGCCAUUUAAUUUGCUGAUGAAGCACAAAGAAUAUUUCUUGGUAUAGAGAUGAUUUUUUCUUGGUAAAAUCUCCUUGCUAGGUCAAUCCCACCGAAAUUAUUCUUAAACCUUUCACGUUUUUUUAUUCUCGUCUAAAUAUAAAUUCCUUUCCAUGUAAAAAAUGCUCAACGGUGUAUGCGUGUAUGUGUUGUCCUUGCAAAAAACCAAAGAUUUUCCCAUCUUCAUAAAUUUAUCUAUUAUGUUCUUUUCACCCAGCAGUAGAUAUUACAUAUACCCAACAUUGCGCCAAAUUCCUCAAGCAAAAAAAAAUCCCCAAUUUAUGUCAAAACCUUUCUAAAAACGAUCUCUUUUAUUUUAUUUUAUGCUGGAAAUCACGAUACAUGUUGUUGCAUGGUUAUUUUUAAUGAAUUUUUGAUUGCAUGUCCAGGAAGAUAUUAAGGUAUUUUCUGACAUUUCUUCGAUAAUUUUUUUCUUUUUGUUUUGCUUAAAGAAAAUCCAUUCCGUUUGAUUUUUCUUUAUUCACACUGAUUUUCUCCAACCAUUUUAGUUGUAUUGAAUUUUUUUGAUUUUAAAGCAAGGGGCAUAGAAAUGGCAGACUUUGUCGUUUUAUUCUAUUUAAUAUUCGGAAAAUCUUUUCAUUUUCUGAUGAAAUAUUGGUAGUGUUUAAAGAAAAUCAGAUGAAGUGAAAUUAAAAUGAAUCACAGUUCGUCUUAUUUUUAUCUGCGACGUUUCGAUCUAUUCAAAAUCAGUCUCCAUUUUAACUGGGAAUAACUUUAAAGCAAGAAGAUAAUUUUAAAUAACUCAAUACGUUGUUGGUGACCAAUAAAGGAAACCUUCAUACAUUUUCACUGCAUUUAAACAAUCUUAAAUGAAACAAAUAAUUUUCUAAUCGUAAAAAUAAUUUUAAAAAAUAACCGGUUUGAGACAAAUAAAUUAAAGAAAUUCAUAGAGAUAAUUCAAAAAUUCGAGGAAUCUGUAUUUUAUAUUUACCAGCUAUAUGCCCCUUGCUAUAAAAAAUUACUGUUUUUUGGGUGAGAAAAAUAGGUACAAUAUUUAAGAUAAUUUCUCAUAUUUCCAUUAUCAAUUUAUUUCAGUAUAAUGUAAAAAAAAGAAGUAUAUAAAGAAGUUUUAAUUGAUCAAGAGUUGAUUUUUUUCAAAGGUUAUAUACAAAUAAAUACCUAAUAGGGUUAAAAUUAUAUUAGAUGGAAAUUGAAAUGAAGAAGAAUAAAAUUGACAUAACCCAAAGCUCACGAUGUUUUAUGAAUUCACACGGAAGAAAAAAAGUGAUGAGUGAUGAUUUUCUUUUGGAAGGUGAAUUUGAAACUAGAGAGUCAAUUACAUUUUCAAAAAAAUAAAAAUACACCAAAAUUUAUAAAUAAAACAUUUUUCAUUCAUGUUUAUUUCGCCAAAAAAUUCCCUUCUUCGCCGAUUUAUAGUUUUAAUAUUUGUGUGAUCAAAAAAAUAUCUCACAGUUGGUGCGCUUUUUAUAUGGAGGUACAUGAAGGUUAAAUGAAAACACAAUUUUAUAUUUCUCAACGAUUUUUUUUUGAAAUUUUAAUUAAUAAAAUCUCUCAACAAUACUCGCAUACUUCUGGCUCAGUAGUGUCUUUAAUCGCGCGCUCUUCUCUCUUUUAUUGUAUUUUUAAUAUAAAAAAAAAGCAAAUACUGAAAUUUUUUCCACAUUAACCCCUCUCGUAUGCAGGAAAGUAAUAUUAUGGUUUUUUGGUGCUGGUUGGUUAACUGAUAUAUACAUACAAAAAUAAAAUUCUUUCGGCAUUGUACUUCCUCGCGAAUAAAUUUCAAAUAUAAUCCUAAAUUCUUUGUGCAUUUUUUCUGUAUAUUUUUUCUCUUCUUUUUUUUCCAAAUGGGUUGUGUGAUUAAUUGCUGUGUAUGUUUUUAUUUUAAAAACUAUUUUCUUUUAUCUCUCUGUUAAUAUCUUUAUUUAAAAAAAAAAUAAUUUCUCUGUUAAUGGAAUGUCAUGAAUUUCUCUCUACUAAAAAUAACAUUAAAUUAAGUCGGUAAACGAAAUUACAAAGUUUUGAGGAAGAAACUAUUUUGACAAUAACAUCACACCUUUGUUGACAUUACAAAAGUUUCUCAUAGGAUAUGGAAAAUGGAUUUAAAUAAACAUUCAUAGAGAAGUUUUGCAAAAAGGAGAAAAUUUUUUUAGGCAAAAAAAAAUUAUGGAUGAGCUUAAAAGAUAAUGAGGUACAGAAGAGAAUGUUAUGAGAAAAAGGUCAUGUAUAAUAUUGUUUCAAACUAAAACCAUAGAAUUAAAAAAAAUAUCUUUAAAACAAAAAAAAA